GUCUAUUGCCAUACCACCCUGAACACGCCCAAUCUCAUCUGAUCUCACAAGCUAAGCAGGGUCAUGCCUGGUUAGUACUUGGUUGGGAGACCGUGUGGGAAUACCGGGUGCUGCAGGGU
ensembl:rRNA 5S_rRNA 5S ribosomal RNA